UACGAAGGGGGCUAGCGUUGUUCGGAAUUACUGGGCGUAAAGCACACGUAGGCGGACUUUCAGUCAGGGCGAAAUCCCGGAGCUCAACUUCGGAAUUGCCUUUGAUACUGUUGGUCUCGAGUCCGGAAGAGGUGGGUGGAAUUCCUAGUGUAGAGGUGAAAUUCGUAGAUAUUAGGAAGAACACCGGUGGCGAAGGCGGCCACUGGUCCGGUACUGACGCUGAGGUGCGAAAGCGUGGGGAGCAAACAGG
rnacentral:rRNA from 1 species